CCUACGGGAGGCAGCAGUGAGGAAUAUUGGUCAAUGGACGCAAGUCUGAACCAGCCAUGCCGCGUGCAGGAAGACGGCUCUAUGAGUUGUAAACUGCUUUUGUACGAGGGUAAAUCCCGACACGUGUACCGUGUUGAAAGUAUCGUACGAAUAAGGAUCGGCUAACUCCGUGCCAGCAGCCGCGGUAAUACGGAGGAUUCAAGCGUUAUCCGGAUUUAUUGGGUUUAAAGGGUGCGUAGGUGGUUCGAUAAGUUAGUGGUGAAAUCCCGGGGCUCAACUCCGGCACUGCAACUGAUACUGGCAGGCUAGAGUUCAGUUGCGGUAGGCGGAAUGCAUGGUGUAGCGGUGAAAUGCAUAGAGAUCAUGCAGAACACCGAUUGCGAAGGCAGCUUACUAAACUACGACUGACGUUGAGGCACGAAAGCGUGGGGAGCAAACAGGAUUAGAUACCCGGGUAGUC
rnacentral:rRNA from 1 species